UUUGCACGUCAGUAUCGCUACGAACCUCCAUCAGGGUUUCCCCUGACUUCAUUCUACUCAGGCAUAGUUCACCAUCUUUCGGGUCCUAACAGAUAUGCUCCAACUCAAACCUCUCUCAGAGAUCGUGGUCGGUCGUAGGUGCGAAGAAUGGCAAAGCCAAAAUCUCCCUACUCUCACUUUCAUUGCGCAUACAGGAGUAAAACCCGCAUACUCGCACAUAUGUUAGACUCCUUGGUCCGUGUUUCAAGACGGGUCGGUUGGAACCGAUUAAGCCAGCAUCACAGAAACCGAGUACUCGAAAGUGGAGCUCGGAAACAGGAACACUCCUCAGCCACAAGGAAAAGGAAAGAACAAAGAUAUAACGGUCCACAAGGAACCUACCUUCUUUGAACGAAAUCAAUUCCGAGUAGCUGAUGCUGACCUCUACCAAAAAGAUGAACCGGAAAUACAUCAAGAAACCAAAGCCUAAACCUGGUGAGAGAGAGAAGGCAAAGGGAUAGAUGGCAAACCGGCGGCACUUCUUGGAAUCAAAAAGGUCCCAAUCGCUUCCUUUUCAGCAAUUUCAGGCACUUUUAACUCUCUUUCCAAAGAACUUUUCAUCUUUCCCUCACGGUACUUGUUUGCUAUCGGUCUCGCGCCAGUACUUAGCUUUAUGUGAAACCUACCACACAUUUUGCGCUCAAAUCCCGAUGAACGCGACUCUAUAAAAGCGUACCGUACGUGGAACAAAAAACGCAGGGGAAGGACGGGAUUCUCACCCUCUAUGAUGUUCUUUCCCAAGAAACUUAACCCUGCGCUUCCACUGGUAACGCCUCUCGAGGCUACAAGUCAACAGCUCGGAAAGAGCAGUUGAUUUCCACUUUGAGCUGAUCCCGGUUCACUCGCCGUUACUAAGGGAAUCAUAGUUAUUUUCUUCUCCUCCGCUUAAUAAUAUGCUUAAGUUCAGCGGGUAACCUCGCCUGAUUUCAGGUCUG